AUGUUCAUCCAGAAGGCAUGGAGGACGGCGGCGUUCGGGCUCUAUGGCUUCACCCAGUUCACCAAAUCCGGCUUCGUGGAACACGCCAAGAAAUUUAGAGAAGAGGAUAUGCAGAUCCGGUUGGAUGGGAAAAAUUGCCUGGUAACUGGAGCAAAUUCUGGCCUAGGUUAUGCUACAGCUCAGGGCUUGGCUUCUCAUGGCGCCACUGUUUAUAUGCUUUGCCGUAACAAAGAAAGGGGAGAGACUGCUCUGAAUGAAAUAAGAUCCAAAACUGGCAAUAUGAAUGUUCAUCUGGAGAUAUGUGACCUUUCAUCAAUUAACGAAGUCAAGUCGUUUGCCACAAAAUUCUCUUCAUUGGAGAAGCCACUUCAUGUCCUUGUUAACAAUGCUGGCUUACUAGAGCACAAGCGUACGACUACACCGGAAGGGUUGGAGCUCAAUUUUGCUGUGAAUGUGGCAGCAACAUACACUUUAACAGAGCUAGUGAUGCCACUGUUGGAAAAAGCAGCAUCUGAUGCUCGUGUCAUUACAGUUGCAUCAGGAGGGAUGUACACUGAGCCACUGAACACGAAUUUGCAAUACAGCGAAAGCGAAUUUGACGGGACAAAACAAUAUGCUCGUAACAAGAGAGUUCAGGUUGCUCUCACUGAAUGGUGGGCUGAGAAAUACAGCAACAAGGGUGUCGGUUUCUACUCCAUGCAUCCAGGAUGGGCUGAUACACCUGGAGUCUCGAAGAGCUUGCCGGUACUAUCAGAGAAGCUAUCAGGAAACCUGAGAUCGAACGAAGAAGGGGCUGACACAGUGGUCUGGUUGGGUUUGCAACCCAAGGAGAAGUUAGUCCCGGGGACUUUCUACUUCGACCGGGCUGAGGCGCAAAAACAUUUGAAGUUUGCUGGGACUGCAGCAUCCCAUGAGAAGAUAGGUUCGAUUGUUGACAGCAUCCGCUCCAUCUGUAACCUCCCUGCAAACCCAUAA
rnacentral:rRNA from 1 species